UGCAACCUGUGAUGCAAAACAACCCAUUUACUGAAUUGCAUUGAUUAUUCCAUAAAAAAUCACCAUCUUUCGGCUGAGGCUGCA
rnacentral:snoRNA from 1 species